rnacentral:lncRNA from 1 species
GGUCUUUCACCCUUAGUGGCAAGUCCCGCUUUUCUAGGGGAGGGGCAAGUACCCCAACCCCUUCUCUCUGAGUCUCUACCCCUUCUCUGCUUUUCUAGGGGAGAGGCAAGAACCCCUCAACCCCUUCUCCUUCACCCUUAGUGGCAAGUCCCGCUUUUCUAGGGGGCAAGAACCCCCAAUCCCUUAUUUCCAUGCCCCAACCUCUUAUCCCUGUGCCCCAAUCCCUUAUUUCUGUGCCCCGACCCCUUAUUUCCACGCCCC